rnacentral:rRNA from 1 species
ACUCCUGCGGGAGGCAGCAGUGGGGAAUAUUGGACAAUGGGCGCAAGCCUGAUCCAGCCAUGCCGCGUGAGUGAUGAAGGCCCUAGGGUUGUAAAGCUCUUUCACCGGUGAAGAUAAUGACGGUAACCGGAGAAGAAGCCCCGGCUAACUUCGUGCCAGCAGCCGCGGUAAUACGAAGGGGGCUAGCGUUGUUCGGAUUUACUGGGCGUAAAGCGCACGUAGGCGGACUAUUAAGUCAGGGGUGAAAUCCCGGGGCUCAACCCCGGAACUGCCUUUGAUACUGGUAGUCUUGAGUUCGAGAGAGGUGAGUGGAAUUCCGAGUGUAGAGGUGAAAUUCGUAGAUAUUCGGAGGAACACCAGUGGCGAAGGCGGCUCACUGGCUCGAUACUGACGCUGAGGUGCGAAAGCGUGGGGAGCAAACAGGAUUAGAAACCCCAGUAGUCCCAUGA